rnacentral:lncRNA from 1 species
UGCCUGUCGAAAUUAUACAUCACAUCUCUCCAUUGUCUUUGUACAAAUGUGUGUGUAAGUAUAUGCACACACAGCCAUGGAUAAAUGAAGGUUUAAAAUUACACACAGAUGAAAGCAUUUUCAGAACAUUUCUUAUGACCAUCUAAAAACCAAAAUGUUGGACAUUGUUUGCAUGUUGAGAUGAACACCUCAGCUAACAAUUGACCUUGUUUUCAAUUGAGGGCACCAAGAUGCCACAUUAUUAAGCAUAUUGGGUCAACCCUGAGUUCAUGGUUAACAUCAUUUUUCUUUCUAUGGAGAUGAAAAGGUCUUCAGCCAGAUUGUUUUCUUUUGGUUCCACCCUGGGUGCUGGGUGGCAUGAUUUUUGCAUGACUAUGGCUCUGCUCUAUAAAUAAGCAGAUUCAGUCUUUUGUUUCAAAUGUAAUCAGCAAGAUUGCAUUUGCAUUGCUUGUAAGUGAAUCACAUAAGUGAAAUUACAUUGCCUGCAUCUCAUUUGGUAUCAUAAAAUGUUAUGGGAUGCAGGCUGUUUUUCUCCAGCUA